UGAGUGGCGGACGGGUGAGUAACGCGUGGGCAACCUGGCCUGUACAGGGGAUAACACUUAGAAAUAGGUGCUAAUACCGCAUAACGGGAGAAGCCGCAUGGCUUUUCCUGAAAACUCCGGUGGUACAGGAUGGGCCCGCGUCUGAUUAGCCAGUUGGCAGGGUAACGGCCUACCAAAGCGACGAUCAGUAGCCGGCCUGAGAGGGCGGACGGCCACACUGGGACUGAGACACGGCCCAGACUCCUACGGAAGGCAGCAG
rnacentral:rRNA from 1 species